GCUGGAUCCUUUGGGGUUUUACAGCCUUGCUGAAUUAUUCACCCGUGUCUUUUGCGUACUUCUUGUUUCCUUGGUGGGUUCGCCCACCAUAGGACAAACCAUUAAACCUUUUGUAAUGGCAAUCAGCGUCAGUAAAAAAAUUAAUAAUUACAACUUUUAACAACGGAUCUCUUGGUUCUGGCAUCGAUGAAGAACGCAGCGAAAUGCGAUAAGUAGUGUGAAUUGCAGAAUUCAGUGAAUCAUCGAAUCUUUGAACGCACAUUGCGCCCUUUGGUAUUCCAAAGGGCAUGCCUGUUCGAGCGUCAUUUGUACCCUCAAGCUUUGCUUGGUGUUGGGCGUCUUGUCUCCAGUUCGCUGGAGACUCGCCUUAAAGUAAUUGGCAGCCGGCCUACUGGUUUCGGAGCGCAGCACAAGUCGCGCUCUCUUCCAGCGAAGGUCAGCAUCCACAAAGCCUUUUUUCAACUUUUGACCUCGGAUCAGGUAGGGAUACCCGCUGAACUUAAGCAUAUCAAUAAGGCGGAGGAA
rnacentral:rRNA from 1 species